rnacentral:rRNA from 1 species
CCCACGACCCGGCAUCGGGUAGAGGGAAAAGGAGCAAUCCGCUUUGAGAUGGCCUCGCGUCCGAUUAGCUAGUUGGUGAGGUAAUGGCCCACCAAGGCGACGAUCGGUAGCCGGACUGAGAGGUUGAACGGCCACAUUGGGACUGAGACACGGCCCAGACUCCUACGGGAGGCAGCAGUGGGGAAUAUUGCACAAUGGGGGAAACCCUGAUGCAGCGACGCCGCGUGGAGGAAGAAGGUCUUCGGAUUGUAAACUCCUGUUGUUGAGGAAGAUAAUGACGGUACUCAACAAGGAAGUGACGGCUAACUACGUGCCAGCAGCCGCGGUAAAACGUAGGUCACAAGCGUUGUCCGGAAUUACUGGGUGUAAAGGGAGCGCAGGCGGGAAGGCAAGUUGGAAGUGAAAUCCAUGGGCUCAACCCAUGAACUGCUUUCAAAACUGUUUUUCUUGAGUAGUGCAGAGGUAGGCGGAAUUCCCGGUGUAGCGGUGGAAUGCGUAGAUAUCGGGAGGAACACCAGUGGCGAAGGCGGCCUACUGGGCACCAACUGACGCUGAGGCUCGAAAGUGUGGGUAGCAAACAGGAUUAGAUACCCUGGUAGUCCACACUGUAAACGAUGAUUACUAGGUGUUGGAGGAUUGACCCCUUCAGUGCCGCAGUUAACACAAUAAGUAAUCCACCUGGGGAGUA